rnacentral:lncRNA from 1 species
UGAACACCGAGCCUAAGCUCUACUCACCUUCCGGGAGAAGCACGAUAAAUCGCAUUGAAAAAAGGUGGGAGCCAAGCCGGACUGUGAGAUCAAAGAAGGAUGAAGCCGAUCCGGAUUGGGGAACGUGGGGGGAAAGAGGGGGAAAUGGUGGAAAGAAGGAGAAAAUGUGGAAAAGGUGGAAGAAAGACGAAAGGAAACAAAAGGGAAACGUGGAAGAACGGAAGAAAUGGGAGAAGUUGGAAAAGGGACUGAGGUCAAAGAAAACAGAUACACGGGGUUGAGUGGCAAACAGGCCACUGGGCGGGGGUACAUGGAAGAUGAAGGAGAAGGAGAAGGAAAGAAAAGGAAAAAGGAGAAAGGAGAAAGGAGAAGAGAAGGACUGCCACCGACCCUGGCCAUAACUAGGGUCGGUGGCUGCGGGAAGAAUGAAGUGGAGGACACACACACAACAGGUAUAACAAGUUUAGGAACCGGAAGGCGAUAUUCCGUUCCUUAUUCGUAAUUUUUUUCACACAUACCGCAAAGCUUUUGAAAUGAACAAACCAACUCGUAUAUAUUCGCUUCAGACCUAGGGGAUAAGAACGAUAGAUCCAGAUGUUUUCCUGUUCUCAAGGUCUGCGUGUGCCUGUGCUGCUUCAGAUAAUGAGUAGGUGUGAUUCACUCGAACCCGCAAUAUACCCGAUGCAACAUUAGCAAAUACCUCUCCUGCAGCCUUCCUCUCGGGUUACAGCGUAAUGAAAGAGGCUAGGCCGAGUCAAGAAGAGUGAUUUCGCUGCAAGGGCUGAUAAUGGAACUGGAUCAGACGCACCUGAUGACUGCCCAAAAUUCACCAUGUAUCCCCGAAGUUUUAAGACUUCCAGUGAUCCCUGAAAACAAUACCUCCCGAUAAGAAUUCAUAGUCGACAACAUUACUUAUCUAUUAGAUGAUGUCAAUGUUGGAGUUGAGUAGUUUGGAUAAAUCAUGACAAGCUUAUGAAUAUAAGACAAGUAUAACUUACCUCAAACGUAUCCUUCCCUACAGAAUCGUAGACAACUUCAACCCCAUUGUUGCGAUGGGGGGUGAGAACGGGAAAGCCAUUGUAGCAGUUGCAGAGACCAGAAUCAAAUUAUAAGGGCAAAGACCAGUUCAGCCUGUUUUGAAGGGAACAGAUAAAAAAUAUGUCAAAGAAGAUCGAAGGCCACUACUUUUCAGAGGUUCUACAAAUUCAAGAGAAAAAAUGGCAAUAAAUCACAACGGUUUCCCUCUUUCGCUAAGAAAAACUAAGGUAUAUAUAAGAAGGAAACCAGCUUUGAUUUCACACGAACUCGAAAACCAAGUUAAACAAUAAAUCAUCAAAAUUUCCCUCUACUCCAAUAAAGCAACGUAAACAAUAAUCUUUCUGAGUCAACUGUUUGGUUGGUGAGAAAAUAAAAGAAAGUCAAAUCCUCUCCCCCCAUCAUUCCCAAAUACAAAAUUUCUCAAGUUAAAUUAAAAAACUUAAAAUCUCAACUAAACCAAUCAGCUCCAAUCAAUUCUUUUCACUGUAAUCUGUCUAAAGAUGAUUCCUUUUUCAUCAAAUGUUAUCCAAUUAUCAAAACCCAGUUCCUACUAAUUACAUAUAAAAAUUGGCCAAAUCAACAUCAAUCAACCUGAUUAAAAUUUUAAUUACAAAUUGAAAAGGAAAAUAGUACUAAUACAGCAGUAGUUGAAUAAAAUUUUAAUUUACUUUUCCACUAAUUAAAACAAACAAAAACGCCAGUUUUAAUCAGUGAAAUUCGAGAGAAGAUUACCUCGUUGGGGCUUGCUGAUCAAGGAAGCUAGAAGCGAAGCAGCUGAAGGGCGAAUAUUGCACAAUUGCAAAUAGAAAAAUCCAUUCUUUUUAGAGAGAGAGAGAAGAGAGAGAGAGAGAGAGGAGAGAGAAAGUCGUCCUCUAGAAAAUUAAAAAAAAAGCGCUUGUCUGCGAUUGGUUGGGCAUUCAGUGGGGUAGGCGGACGAAUAGUAUGACGCCACGUACGCGCUAACUGGCGAACACGCGGGCUGGGACUCGCGGGUGAUCCUGGAGAUUUAACUGAUAUAACCGUCGCGUGCGCGGACUGAACACUUUUGUUUGGUUUGAAGUUUAAAGUUAUGAUUGAGAUUAACGUAUUCUUUUGUUGAAAGUAGACUGAGAUAAUCAACUUCUUAAUCAAACUGCCUGUGUCAAGGGCCCCACUCCACUCCCACGUUGUAAUCUUUUCUGUUAUGGUGAUGGUGCUAAGUAAAAUCAAGGGUGAGGAUUGAGGGAAUCAAUCAAACGGUUGGCAAUAAAUAAGAAAGUUCGAAAAGUCAACCUGCUCAUAGCAGGUAAUGUUUGGACCUACUUAUUUCAACUCAUUUAGGUAAAUUUAGCCAAGGAUUUUCAUGGAUCAAUGAGCUAACUCAUUAUAUAUGUGUACUUUUUUUUAAUUUUAUAUUUAUAAAUUUAUUGAAUUUAACGGCUAAAACCUAAUGUGAUCAAAUCCAAUGAUAAAAAAAAAAAAUCUAACGUUCCAAAUUUAAAUUCAAUGGCUAAAGUAAAUAAAAAAAUUAUUUUAUGUGUUUCAUAUUCUUUCAUAGUGUUCCAUGAGUUUCAUGAUGUUGAUUUAGAGAUUUUUCAAUAUAUAUCGGAAUCUAAUUUUUUUUUAGGUUAAAAUGUUCAUAAAAUUAAAUUAUGAUAGUCUACCUAAUAUUUUUUUAAGUUACUUUAAGAAAAAAAUAUCCUAAAUUCAUUCUUUAAUACUCUCGGGCUAAAAUUUAAACCAAAAGCUUUGGAGGAGAAAAAUUGUUUCUGGUUAAACCCCAAAUUUUCUAGCUUAAAAAUUUGAAGUUUUAACUCAAAAGUUGGAGAUGAUCAAGUAAAGGAAUAGGAUCCUCUCAAGAUCCUAGCAAAAAUUGAACAGUCAAAAAUUAAUUUUUUGUUUAUGUCCACUUUUUUCUGUCCAUAUUCUUUUAUCUUCACCUUUUGCUGUUCAUCUUCUUCCAUCUUCUUCCCGGUUAAUAUGCUCAUGUUCAUCUUCUUCUCUCUUCAAGGUCAUUUAAUGGAAUAAUGUUUGAUUAUUAUUGUUGUUGUAUUUUUUUUUAACAAACGAUAUUAUUUAUACUAACAGUGUAGGGGAGUUAACUCAGCCUUACAAUGAGUUAGCAAUGAUGUGAUUCAAAUUUAUCUUUAACGAGAUUCAAACUUAAAACCUCUCAUUUACAAAUGAUAUUGUUGUUGUAUUUAAACCUUGGAUUUUUAACAUUUUUUAAUAUUUAGUAUUGAAUGAUAUGAAAAUAAAUGGUUAAUUUAAAAAAAAAGAAUAUUUGUAACAUAACAUUGAAUAAUAAGAGCAAUGAUGCCAUACUCGUAAAUCACUGUUUGUUUAUGUUAUUUUAUUUUAUUUUAUAUAAUCAAUUCAUAGAUCUUCGUUAUAAGUACAUCAAAGAGCUUCCAUCUUGGUGUCCUUGCUAGAGUCCCCCACAAUCCUCCUCCAAAACCAGUGCUCCUGCCACACUAUCUCCAUCUUCUCAAUCGGCACAUUCUUCGUCUCCGGCAAAAACAAGUACACAAACACCGUCAUCACCGCCACCCAACCCCCGAAAAAGAAGAAAAUCCCAGCCUUGAAGUGGCACAGCAUUGCUAGAAAAGUUUGAGCAACAAUGAAAGUGAACAAAAAGUUCACCACCACAUUGAUACUUUCUCCCGCUGAUCGAAUUUCCAACGGGAAAAUCUCACUCGGAACCAACCAUCCGAGCGGCCCCCAUGACCACCCGAAUCCCGCUACAUAAAUGCAUAUCAAAACCAGCACCAAAUAGGCAUACCCCUUGCUCACUCCACCGCGAUCACCAAGCUGAGCUGCCAUUACACCUCCCACCACGAUUUGUGACACCAACAUUUGAAUCCCACCAGCUAAAAACAACGCUCUUCGCCCAAAUUUGUCUACGAUAAGCAUAGAUACGAAUGUUGAGAUUGUACCAACCACUCCAGUCGUCAGGACAACGGACAAGAGCGAAGCGCUUUCUCCCAACCCAAUUGUUCGAAAAAGUACGGCAGAAUAAAAGGAUAUGACAUUGAUCCCUGUCACUUGCUGAAAAAAUGGUAUGGCUAUUGCCAUCACAAGCUGAGGCCUAUACUUUCUCUCCAGGAUUUUCUUAAAAGGGUGUUUAAUGUUUUUCCAUAUGUUGUUUGCCUUGAUCAGAUCAUCGAGUUCUGCUUGGACAUCAUUGACACCUCUGAUACGUUGUAGCAUUUGCUUGGCUGUAUGGUGAUCCGCGCUAUGCUGGAUUAGGCUGUUAGGUGUUUUGGGAAGGAAAAAUGCUCCCAGUGUUAGCAUUGAGGCAGGGACUGCAGCCAUGGCUAGGGAGAUUCGCCACCCCCAACCGCCUUUGAUCUUCUCAGAGCCGUAGUUGAUGAGGUUAGCUGAUAAUACGCCAAUGCCGACGCUAAAUUGGAAGCCAUUGUUAAUUGCUCCUCUGUAUUUUGGUGGUGCCAUUUCCGAAAGGUACAAUGGAACAGCCUGCACAACACAAACACAGAUUACACAAGUAACACGAAAAAUAGAAACAUCGAAUAGGGUAUGCUUAUAUGAUUAAUGUUGGGGGCAAAAAGUACUACCUGAUUUCCAAAACCAAUACCAACUCCAAGCAAUAAGCGGCCGAGGAUGAGCAUGUAGAUGUUCAUAGCUGCGCCAUUUAGAGCUGAGCCGGCAAGGAAUGCAGCUCCACCGGCAAGGAUUGAAGGCUUGCGGCCGUAAGCCCUUGUGACCAAACCGGCAAAAAGGGAAGCUACAAGACCAGCUAUGUAGAGUGAGGAUGUGAAGGAUGUUGAUUAUUGACUCAAACAUGUAGUCAAAGUCCAAAUCUUUGGGCUACUUUUGUGGUCAAAAUUGUUGGAUGGCAUGCUACAUGUGGGAAACCAAAAUUGGAUGCACUUAUGCCUAAUUCUUUUUGACUUGAUGUUAGGCCUUUGGCCAUUGAUGUCUUUGAGAAGCUUUUCUUUGGCUAUAAAAGGAGAGCAAGGUGCAACCCAUAAGCAUGGAGAAGUAGAGAAGAACAAGGAAGAGAGAAAAAUAGCAAGAAGCCAUUUGGCAUAGAGAAGAAUUUUCUCAAAUUGUCUUGUUUUGUAUUUUUGGUUUUCUCUUCCUAUUGUAAGUGUGAGAGCUUGGGGUUAUUUGGGUCUUUGGGAAAUUGAGUGAUAAACACUAUUGUAUGUUCUCAUUGAUUAUAGUGGAAUACUCCGUCGUCUCCAAACUGGAUGUAGGCAUUGCCGAACCAGUAUAAAUCUUGGUGUUCUUGUUGGUGUUGUUUUUAUUCUGUUCUGUCUUACUAUUCACUUACAGUCGUAUGCCGCUUCCGCACAACAAGUGGUAUCAGAGCCCAGUUCUGUGAAUAGUGUUGGCGCUACAGUUCAGUGAACAGUGAACUGCUACAGUAUCUGUGAACAGUAUUGUACCUGUGAACAGUGCCGUAUUUGUGAAUAGUGCCGAGUAGAUGGCUGGAGAUAAAGAUGAAUCUGUAAGGAAGGAGUCAGCAUCGUCUUCGUCUACAUCCAAUAGACAUCCAACCACUACUACAAGGUUAGAGGUUGAUAAAUUCAAUGGCUCUAAUAAUUUUGGUAUGUGGCAAUGUGAAGUUAUGGAUGUGUUGUAUCAACAAGAGUUGGAUAUGGUUCUGGAAGAUAAACCAGAAGAUAUUGAUGACAAGCAGUGGACACGAAUUAAUCUUCAUGCUUGUGCUGCUAUUCGAUCAUUCAUUGAUAAGGAGUUGAAAUACCCGUAUAUGAAGGAAACUUCUGCUAAGGAGUUAUGGACGAAAUUGGAGGAGAAGUAUAUGACCAAGAGCGCAGAAAAUCGUCUCUUCUUGAAGAAGCGACUCUUCCGAUUUCAGUAUCGUCCAGGUAUCUCUAUGCAUGAACACCUCAAUGAUUAUAAUAAAAUACUUGCUGAUUUAGCAAACCUUGAUGUGAAAAUUCCUGACGAGGACAAGGCACUAUGUUUGUUAAAUUCAUUGCCUGAUGAUUAUGAUCAUUUGACAACUACUCUGUUGUAUGGAAAAUCCGAGGUGAAACUUGAUGAGGUGUCUGCGGCAUUGGUGAAUCAUGAGUGUCGUAAGAAGGAACUGAAGACUCACAAUUCACAAACCGAGGCAUUUGUUGCAAGGGGUCGAACAGAGGAAAGAAAAUCUGGGAAGCGGGGAAAAUCUCGUUCAAAGUCACGAGGGAAGUUUCCUGCUAAAGAUGAAUGUGCUUUUUGUCGCCAAAAGGGGCAUUGGAAGAAAGACUGCCCCAAAUUGAAGAACAAAGAGAAGGAGAAAGCGGGUUCUGAAGCAAAUAUUGCAAAAUCUGGAGAUGAUGAUUUCGAGUUUGCUUUGGCUAGUUCAUAUGCUAAUGGUCACUCAAAUGAGUGGAUUUUGGAUUCAGGUUGCACCUAUCAUAUGUGUCCCAUUCGGGAAUGGUUUUCUAAUUUCAAGGAGCUGGAUGGUGGAGUUGUUUUGAUGGGUAAUAAUAAUGCCUGCAAAACACAAGGGAUAGGCAAAAUCUGUUUGAAGAUGCAUGAUGGAACAGUCAGAGAAUUAAGUGAUGUUCGGUAUGUACCGGAUAUGAAGAAAAAUCUCAUCUCACUGGGUGCAUUGGAAUCCAAGGGUCUCAAGAUCACCAUGGAGGGUGGAGUUCUUAAAGCUGUGUACGGGGCACUGGUGGUGAUGAAAGGUACAAGACGAAAUAACUUGUAUUUCUUGCAGGGGAGUACAGUUAUUGGUGGAGCAGCUGUCACCGAAGCUGCUGACGCAGAUAGCACAGACACCACGAGGUUAUGGCAUAUGCGUCUUGGGCAUGCUGGUGAAAAAGCGUUGCAAGGAUUGGUGAAGCAAGGCUUAUUGAAAGGUGCAAAGGCAUGCAAAUUGGAAUUCUGUGAGCAUUGUGUGUUGGGUAAGCAAACUAGAGUAAAAUUUGGCACUGCUAUUCACCACACUAAGGGCAUUCUUGAUUAUGUUCACACUGAUGUUUGGGGACCUUCCAAGAAUGCAUAUUGGGGAGGUAGCCAUUAUUUUGUCUCCUUUGUUGAUGACUUCUCUAGAAGAAUAUGGGUGUACACCAUGAAGCGUAAAGAUGAAGUCUUGAAGAUAUUCCUGAAGUGGAAAAAGAUGAUUGAAACGCAAAGCGGUCGAAAGAUCAAGACUCUCAGAUCAGACAAUGGGGGUGAAUAUAAGUCUGAUCCUUUCUUGAAAGUUUGUCAAGAUGAGGGUAUUGUGAGGCACUUCACGGUUAGGGAGACACCGCAACAGAAUGGGGUGGCAGAGCGCAUGAACCGUACUUUGCUUGAGAAAGUUCGGUGUAUGUUGUCUAAUGCUGGAUUAGGCAAGGCGUUUUGGGCUGAGGCACUCACUUAUGCAAGCCAUCUCAUUAAUCGAUUGCCAGCUGCUGCGAACGAGGGCAAAACGCCCAUGGAGGUAUGGUCUGGUAAACCUUGUACUGAUUACAAGUUUUUACACAUAUUUGGUUGUCCUGCUUACUAUCAUGUCAGAGAAAGCAAGUUGGAUCCAAGAGCAAAGAAAGCUCUAUUUAUGGGCUUUAGCACUGGCGUGAAGGGAUACCGACUCUGGUGUCCAGAUGAGAAGAAAUUUGUUGUAAGCAGAGAUGUGACUUUUGAUGAGGCUGCUAUGGUUAAUCAGAACAAGCAUGAAGGUGAAACUAAAGCGACCGAGACCAUGAGUAGCUCAAAGCAGGUGGAGUUACUGAAGACUCCAGUUGUUCCAGUAAGGUCUGAUGUUUCAAACACUAGUCCUACAGUUAAUUCUGAUGAUGAGGACGAGGAUGAUGAAGAGGAGGCACCUACCCAAGAGCCUCCACAGCAACAAGACUAUAUUGCAACCAGAAGAUCGAGAAGGGAAAUCCGAAAGCCUGCUCGAUUUACUGAUAUUGUGGCAUAUGCACUUCCCGUUAUUGAAGAUGAUAUUCCAUCCGCCUACAAAGAAGCUGUCAUGAGUUCAGAGUGCGAGUUGUGGAAGAAAUCUAUGGAUGAGGAGAUGAAAUCUCUUCAUAAAAAUGAGACUUGGAAGCUGGUUCAGUUACCAAAGGGGAAGAAAGCAAUUGGUUGUAAAUGGGUGUAUGCCAAAAAGAUGGAAUCUUUGGGAAAAGACAAUGUAAGAUUCAAAGCCAGAUUGGUAGCUAAAGGCUACGCUCAGAAGGAAGGCAUUGACUACAAUGAGGUAUUUUCUCCUGUAGUAAAACAUUCUUCUAUUCGUAUUCUGUUGGCUUUGGUUGUGCAGUUUGACCUUGAGUUGGCCCAACUUGAUGUCAAGACUGCGUUCUUACAUGGUGAUUUGGAGGAAGAGAUUUAUAUGUCUCAGCCAGAAGGUUUUAAGGUUGCUGGAAAGGAAAAUUGGGUUUGCAAAUUGGAAAAAUCAUUGUAUGGCUUGAAGCAGUCUCCAAGACAAUGGUACAAGCGAUUUGAUAGAUUUAUGAUCGGGCAGAAGUACACAAGAAGUCACUAUGACCAUUGUGUAUACUUUCGCAAACUACAAGAUGGAACCUUCAUUUAUCUGCUUUUAUAUGUUGAUGAUAUGCUUAUAGCAUGUAAGAGCAAAGUGGAGAUUACAAGGUUGAAGACUCAACUAAGUAAUGAAUUUGAGAUGAAGGACUUGGGAGAAGCUCGGAAGAUACUAGGUAUGGAAAUUGAAAGAGAUAGAGCGAAGGGCAAGAUUAGUCUGUGUCAGAAGCAAUAUUUGAAGAAGGUACUACAACGUUUCAGGAUGAAUGAAAAUUCAAAACCGGUUAGUACACCUCUUGCCUCUCAUUUCAAACUUAGCGCUUCUAUGUCUCCUAAAACUGUUGAAGAGAGUCAGUACAUGGCUCAAAUUCCUUAUGCAAAUGUUGUUGGUAGUUUGAUGUAUGCUAUGAUGUGUACUAGACCUGAUAUUUCACAAGCUGUUAGCAUUGUCAGUAGAUAUAUGCAUAAUCCAGGAAAAGGGCAUUGGCAAGCUGUGAAAUGGAUUCUACGGUAUAUUCUGGGUACUGUGGAUGUUGGUUUAUUGUUCCAGCAGGAUAAAGUUACUGGUAAAUGUGUUGUUGGAUAUGUGGAUUCUGAUUACGCAGGUGAUUUGGACAAGCGUAGGUCCACUACUGGUUUUGUAUUCUCUAUUGCUGGAGGUCCAAUAAGUUGGAGGUCGAUUCUGCAAUCUACAGUUGCUUUGUCGACUACUGAGGCAGAAUACAUAGCUGUGACAGAAGCUAUAAAGGAAGCCAUCUGGCUUCAAGGGUUGCUUGAUGACUUAGGGGUUCAACAAGACCAUGUGGAUGUUCAUUGCGACAGUCAGAGUGCUAUUCAUUUAGCAAAGAAUCAAGUUCAUCAUGCACGUACGAAACACAUUGACGUGAGGUUCCAUUUUGUUCGUGAGAUUAUUGAUGAGGGAGAUAUUCUUCUUCAGAAGAUUGGGACCGCUAACAAUCCUGCAGAUAUGUUAACAAAGCCAGUUUCGUUGCACAAGUUUAAGCACUGCUUAGACUUGAUUGGCGUUUGUAAAAUUUGUUGAUUGCCCCAUGGGGGAUUGGGAGACGACUAUUAGGAGUUCUACUUAGAGGGUUUGAGUCAAGGUGGAGAUUGUUGAUUAUUGACUCAAACAUGUAGUCAAAGUCCAAAUCUUUGGGCUACUUUUGUGGUCAAAAUUGUUGGAUGGCAUGCUACAUGUGGGAAACCAAAAUUGGAUGCACUUAUGCCUAAUUCUUUUUGACUUGAUGUUAGGCCUUUGGCCAUUGAUGUCUUUGAGAAGCUUUUCUUUGGCUAUAAAAGGAGAGCAAGGUGCAACCCAUAAGCAUGGAGAAGUAGAGAAGAACAAGGAAGAGAGAAAAAUAGCAAGAAGCCAUUUGGCAUAGAGAAGAAUUUUCUCAAAUUGUCUUGUUUUGUAUUUUUUGGUUUUCUCUUCCUAUUGUAAGUGUGAGAGCUUGGGGUUAUUUGGGUCUUUGGGAAAUUGAGUGAUAAACACUAUUGUAUGUUCUCAUUGAUUAUAGUGGAAUACUCCGUCGUCUCCAAACUGGAUGUAGGCAUUGCCGAACCAGUAUAAAUCUUGGUGUUCUUGUUGGUGUUGUUUUUAUUCUGUUCUGUCUUACUAUUCACUUACAGUCGUAUGCCGCUUCCGCACAACAAAGGAGGUCAACAGUUCACUGUCAAAUUUACAGUAGUUGCUGAUUUUGGUGUCCGAUUUCAUCUUAGUGUUUACUUCAGGGAAGAAUUUUUUAAGAAACGGCUCCAUUGAUGUCACGCCGCCUGAAAUUCCAAUGUCGUAGCCGAAAAUUACACCUCCUAUGGCUGCCAUCAUGCAAGAGAGGAUGACAAACGGCGUCAUCUUGCCAUUGUAUUGCCCGGCUUCGCCUGCUAUUGCUAACUCAACUGCCAUUGCUUCUUCCAAGCUCACACACAAAUAGAUAUGAAGAGAGAACUCAGAGUUGUGAUUUGUACUAAGAGAAUGGAAAUAUAGUGAGAAGUCUUGCUCCAUUUUCUGACAAAUACGAUAUUUUAAACUACUGUAAUCUACGGAUAACGAAUUCUUCCUAACCACGUCUCCAAGAGUGGUCUUACUUGACUGGUGUAUUUCAACAAAUGGUUUUGGACUUGUACGGAAUAUGUAGGCAGUGGUUGCAAUCACUACCACUACUAGAUAACUUCAGGCAGGACCAUAAGCAUUUGUCUGAACUCUGAAGAAAGUUAAGGGUCUAUUUGGCCACUCUUCAGCUGCCAUUGCCUGGUUUAACAAACCCUUUCGUACUUAAUCACUCUUUUUUUGCUGCUUUAAUAUCUGCUUUGCCGUUAAUCGCGAGCACUUAAACUUGUCGACCGCUGCCACCCGUUGGUACCCUGCCGGAGCUACUUGGUAUGGUAGUCCGGAUGCCGCCGGAAGUGGCGGUGUAAUGCAUGAUUAAUGUAUACAUGUUUUGUAAUUUUUGGUUUACAGAUAAUACAGUAUAGUUACUUAAUUAUUAAUAUUAAUAGCAUAUGCUAAACUAAUACAUUAUUGUCAUAUUAUUCAAAGUGAUUUCAAAACUACUUUCAUUUACGGUAAGAGAGGCUCGGAGCUAAUACAAAGAACAAAAAUAAACAGCGAAUGUGCAGAAGGAGAAAAAAAAAUGUGUGCUGAAAUCGUUUCCCAAAUUAUUCUAAAGUGAAUGGCAUGAAAGCAAAAAGAUAGAGAGAGACUACCAGAAACAAUAGAGAGUGUGCCAGUCGGGCACCUUGGCAUGCUUCCCACGUCACUCUAGUUACAUCGGCACCCUAGCAUGAACUCCACAUAUUAGAAUUCGAGGGCUCACUUGAGAAAAACUGUGUCCAUCCUCACGUGAUGAGAGAGACAUAUGUUACGUGAUACAUACCCUGCUGUUUCACAGAAACAGUUUUGCCUUUCAGCAGAAAUGUGAAAAAUACAAUUGACUUUUUUGCUUGCUUAACAUGUCUGUCUGUCACUAAAGUUGGAGAUAACAUCAUUGCAUUUUGCAAACCAACUCAUAUUAAUCUGUUCACAAAGAACAACAGUUGAGGCAAAAAUUUUAGGGUAUAAGCACAGCCGAGCCGGAUGUUUUCCUGUUCUUAAGGUCUGCAUGAGCUUGUGCUGCGUGAGACAAUGGGUAUUUGUGAUUUACUCGAACGCGCAAUAUGCCUGAUUCAACAUUAGCAAAUACCUCUCCCGCAACCUCUACCAAUUUGUCUCGAGCUGCAGUGUACUGGAACAGGCCGGCCUGGUCAGGAAGAGUGACUUUGCUGCAAGAGCUGAUAGUGGGACCGGAUCAAUUGCACCUGAUGUUUGUCCGAAACUCACCAUGUAUCCACGAGUCUUCAAGCAUGCCAAUGAUCCCUGUAAACAAUGCCCCAAUUAAGUCCUAAUUCCAAAAUUCACCAUUAAGAAAUUAGACUAGAUAAUCUUCUGAACUGAAAAAAAUCAAAGGGUAACUAGCAUUUGCUUUAACAGUUUCAUAAAACUAGCUCGAACGGAACAGUAUAGAGAUUUGGUAUGCCUGGCCUAUCAUUGAGAAACUUCAACGCUAGAUUAGGUAAUAAGUCACAGAAAAGCAGAAGUAGUAACAAGCUGUGUUGAUACUCAAUGAAACCAAGAAUAUCAAAGGAACGGUGCAGAAGGAGAACCUAGAAUCAUUUCUGUAACUUUUGUAUAAAAUUGAGGGAUGGUAAGAUUUACCUGAAAGGUAUCCUUCCCUACAGAAUCAUAGACAACAUCAACCCCAUUGUCAGAUGUUAUUUCUGUCACUCGAGCAACAAAAUCCUCUUCGUGUAGACUAUGACAUGGUGACACCCAUCAUCCUUGGCCUGAGCUGUCUUCUCUUUAGUUGAUAGAGUUCCAAUGACAGUUGCACCAAGCGCAUUAGCCCACUGGCAUAAAAGGGAUCCAACUCCACCAGCUGCUGCGUGAACAAGGACCAUGUGUCCUGGUUUGACCUGUAUAAUUAACAGCACAAAAUUCAGCUCGAACAUUAAAAGCAGCAGCAUUCAAAUUUAUAAACAAUUUCUAACAUUGAAUCAACCGUGUUUAGAUAAUGAAAUUACAAGUUCAGGAAGCAUUUAGUUACAACUUGACCACCAAUAUUUGUCAGUUGAUUGUAUUUUUUUGACACAUUAAUCACAUAGUUAACAAUACAGAAAAUUGUACAAUAAAACAACCUUGAAAGACUGACGUAGUAGAACCUGAGCUGUCAUACCCUUAAGCAAUACGGAUGCUGCAACAAUAGGAUCAAUUGAAGGAGGAACGGGCACCACUUUGUUUUCAGGAAGGAUCUGCUCUUCCGCAUAUGACCCCAUCGGAGUGCCAACAUAGGCCACCAGAUCUCCAACUCGCCUGUCUGUUACCCCAGGUCCUACGGCUGUCCCAACUCCACAAGCUUCCAUACCUGAAAUGAAAAUUGAUUUGUAGUGACGUUGAGUUUCUCGACCAUUUCUCUUAAGGAUUAGUCAGUUCUAUUUCAAACAGCAGGAAUGGCUAAUCUGGUUUCAUGCCCGGCAUUCUUUUAGUUUUGCUAAAUCAUUCUUGAUCAUAUCUGAAAACUGUAAUCUCACGCGAAAUGUUUACUCAAGAAACUGUUAAGAAAAAACUAAACUUAGAAAUUAUGCCUUCAAAGAGUGGACUAGAUGUCAAUCCUUCCUACAUUUCGGAACUUGGAAAUGAAGCAAAACCUGGGGAGAAGGGCAUUGUAUCAGCCUUAUAAUAAAGUCCUUUGCAGAAGUAUAAGGGCAUUGUAUCAGCCUUAUAAUAAAGUCCUUUGCGGAAGUAUACAUCGAUGAAAUUAACCCCUAUCGCCUUGUUCUUCACACGAACCUCCCCCUCUUCCGGCUCUCCUAUUUCCACAUCUUCCCAUUUCAAGACCUAGCAGCAUUACAUCACAAAAUUAAGUGAAAUGGGGAUAAAAGCAUUGGAAAUUUGGAUAAUGACAUAUAGCUGAACCAGAUUGCAGAUGAAAGGAAAAUUACGAGCAAAGGAAACUUCUUUCAAGGAAAACAAACUGAAGUAAAACUCGAAAACAAACGGGUUUUGAAUAAUAUGUUUCAAAGGUUGUGUAUGAACACACUUGAUGUGGCUCGAGAUAAACUAUAAACACAAUAUAAACUUAAGUUUACAAACUCAAAUACUUCAAGGCCUCGCUCGAUGUCUAUGAUUGAAUUGGACUGAAAAAUCGCUAGAUUCAAUGUAUGUCAAAGAAAGAAAUUUGGAAGGCAGAAGAAGGAUUAAUCAUGAAGAACAUUCCAAUCGCCAAGGAAAUGGUAGGAUUGGAAGGGAUAAGCUUACUUCUUGACUACUCCUACUUCUACUUUCAACUUAUGGCUCGUCUGGAAAUAUUUUUAGAAUGACUGAAAGUGUUUUUGGUGAAACUGAUUUUGGAUUCCAAAAACACUUGGAAGAAGCAUCAAAUAUGUGUUUCUUGCAGGAAGCAGUUCAAGUGUUUUCACAAAAUAUUUUCACAAAAAACACUUUCUGUUAUUUAAAAGUACUUCCAAACGGCCAAAGACAAAAUUUAGAAGUUGACUUCCAUUUCUUCCUUCGACAUUGAAUCAUAGUGAGUUAUUGAAUCUAGUCAAAUCCUUGACACCAAACAAGAACUAUCCUUCUCCGGAUUAGUCCGAUGAAUACAAUGGCAUAAGAAAUCAUGUACUCUUGGCUAAAAGCAGAAAGGCUAUCACUUUCAGCCUGUUACCAGAUUUUCCAUCAAACAACUUGGAUUUAUUGUAAACAUAAAUAGUUUACAAAUGAAAUCAGGCACUUAAUAUUGCAACCGACAAACAAGUCUUGAUUUUGUGAUCACAAAUUCAAACAUUCAAGUUACCCAAAAAAAUACAGGAGAGAGAGAGACCUGAGGACCACCAAGUUCAUGAACUCUAAUGGCUUUCACCAUCUUUGUUGGCGAUACUGCUUGAUUCUGGGUACGGACUAUUUUCCGGUCAAAAGUGUGAUUUCUUGGUAAUUAUCCCUUAAUAAUUAGCCUAACCCGUGUUAAUAUUAUAAUGUUGGACCUACAUCUUUUUUUAGUCUAUGUCUCAUACACGCACCAGAAAUCAUAAAGAGUUGUGAUAUUUCCACUCUGAUAUCUUAUUUUCUUACCUAUCAUUUAAUGAAAAUGUUAAUAACAUAUUUAUCCUUUUAAAAGAAGACUCUUAAACCUUUAUUUAAUUCAGUACUAAAAUCUUGAAAAAGCAAAAAAUAAUUUAAAAUAAUAAAUAAAUAAUGGUGGGUGGGGUGUGAUAUCUUUGGUGGAAAGAGGUUGUGAAAGAUUUGGGUUAGAAUUGACGGGAAUGUUGGAGGAAUGAAUGGGCAUGUGCUAGACGAAUGCGAGAAACUUCAAUGGAGAAAAAAGAGAAUUGAGUGUGAGAUCUGCUGUUUUGACAAAAAAGGAGGAAGAAAAGUGGUUUGGGUGUCGGGAUCUCUGCAGGACGACGAUAAGUGUGAAGGAGAUGAUGAAUGCCUAGGUCUUGCAUCUUCUUUUAUUUUUUUUAUUUUUUUAUUUAUUUAUUUAUAAUAUUAUUUAAAGAUAUAUUAGGGUUAUUUAAAAAAAUAUAUUAUGGUUAUUUUGAGAAUAAUGGUGGGCGGGAAAAUAACAUUUUACUUUUUUAAAUUUUUAUAGUGGGUGAGAUUAUUAUGUGGGUAGAAAAAUAGGACACGGGUCUUGUAGCACUCUUCAUAAAUUGUUUUUUUUUUUUUUUGUGAAAAAAAUCAUAAAAUGUUAAGUCUAUACUACUUAUAAAUGAACAGUGUUUGAACCCGAAUUUUACUCUAUUUACGACCAUGCCACUGCUUUUCAGAGUGGCCUAUAUGUUUGGGUCCUAAUUUCAGUUUAAUUACGGUCAUGCCACUGCUUUUCAGAGUGGGCUUUGUGGGUUUGCAUUCAGUGUGGGAUUUGGUAAGGGAAAGGCAUGCGGCUUACAGAGAGGAGGAGAGAUAGAGGGGGAAGGAGAGAGAGAGAGAGAGGGAUUCGGUGAAGGGAAGGCAUACGGCUUACAGAGAGGAGGAUAGAUAGAGGGGGAAGGGGAGAGAGAGAGAGAGAGAGAGAGAGAGAGGGAUUCGGUGAAGGGAAGGCAUGCGGCUUGCAGAGAGGAGGGAGGGAGGGACGAGAAGACGAAAAACAACUGCAGCAAGUUCAUGGACAGGGAGAGAGAAAGCGUUCUGCAGCCCGCUAGCAGUUUUCGUUCAGAUCCAGGUUUGUUUUUUUCCCCUUAAAAUUUAGAUUUUUUUCGCCAUUUUAUGUUUCGUUCAAAUCCGGGUCCGUUUGGUUGCCGAGAAAUUCACUUGAAAAUUUUCUUUUCGUUGGGUUUUAAUUUGUUAUUUGGGGUCGCGUCUGGGAUGAAUUACUUGCCGGCAUUUGAAUUCGGCUUCUGGGAUUGCGAAAUUCUUCGAUUCGAAGUAUUGCUUGUCGGCAUUUCAUAGACCACAUUAUGCAUUAUGUUAGUGAAUCGUGCUGAGAACAUGUCAAUCAUAUUUAGGUUCUGUGCAAGGAAAGGGACAUAUGAAUCCUGCUCUUGAUGAUUCAAUAUGCCAUCAAACAUUACUUAGGCUUCUAAUUUCAUACAGAAAUCGAAAACCCAUUUGGUGAGCCCUUGAGUCAGGGGCUACGCUAGAACAUUUGGAAUGAGAGUGGUCAAAGCGAAUCACGUUUUUGUAUUAUUUUCGAGUUGAAAAAUUAGGUUUUUCUUCAUAAGAAGUUCAAAUUACACUCUAUUGGGUCUGAGACAUGGAAACUCAAUAUCUUUGUGAUAUUACAUUAACAUAGUUAAACUAUAUUUUCUUUUGAUGGGCAUGUCUAAAUUUCUGUAUUUGCGCUGUAGGGAUGUCUUAUCGGGUGAAGUGUUCAAAAUCCUUCUGCUAACUGAUUUAAUAGGUUGAAUUUGUAUCCAAUGUUUUCUUCCAAUAUGGUCUGAACUAUUUUGUUUAAUUAACGAAAACAGGUCACUUCUCUCUAUGGUGGUCCCUUAGAGUUUAUGUUUAUUGUGCAAAGCACAGAAGACCCUGCUUAUCGAGCUGUAUCUAUGCUACUAUCAGAGCUUAAGGUAUACGCAACAAUAAUCAUGGUUUCUUUAAUAUAAGAACAUCCAGGACAAGUCAUAUAUAAUAUAUGCUUGAAAGCACAAGUUUAAUGUAUAACAUUUUUUAGGUUACAUGUGUUCCGAGAAUGAUCUGUUUUACGUUUAACUUCAUUUCCUUGCAGGACGAGGUUGAUGCUAAGAUUGUUGUGGCUGGUAUUUCAACAACCUGUAGUCAGAAAAUUCACAACCAAUUGGUAUGUACCUGAUUAAAAUAAUUUACGCUUUGCUACCAUGCUGGUGCAAUAGCAAGGUCUUGCACAGUUUAAGUGUUAUCUUAUCAAAUCAUUAUGUACCUAUAAUUGUUCUAUAUGACGAGUUUCUUUUCUUUAUGGAAUAGAGAAAUAUAAAUUUAUUACUAAGUCUUAAUGGUGUAGGGUAUAUGUAAAUGAAUUCAAUUAGAACUCACAGUUUUGUUUUCUGUUUUGUAGCUGCCUUGAUCAUUAGUUGGUGAUAUUUGGGAGAUUGGGUCAUCUGGUUGUUUGGAUUUAAGUGGGAUUGAGGUUAUUUUUGCCGCUUUUUGUGAUUUGGGUCUGGGUUCUGGUCAAGUUAUUGCUAUUGAUUCUGGGUCAUCUUCUUCAAAGUUAUUGCUAUAUAUUCCUUCUUCUUUUGGACCCAACAAUCUGUGGGUUUGAUUGCAGCAUAGUGAUUUAGUUUAAAUUUCAACAUUGAUUAUAUAUAUAUAUAGAUAAUCCUAAACACUUCAAAUAAAUCUCAAAUUGAAAAGAACACUUCAAUCUGACUAAAAUUACACAAAGGAAAAAACAAAGACAGAAAGUUGGGCGGUGAAACAUCAACACUAAUUUUAUAGGACGGCAAUAAGGCCGGCGAUGCUGUAUGGCACAGAAUGUUGGGCGGUGAAACAUCAACACGUACACAAAAUGGGUGUAGCGGAGAUGAGGAUGCUUCGUUGGAUGUGUGGGCACACGAGAAAGGAUAAGAUUAGGAAUGAGGAUAUCCGGGGUAAAGUAGGAGUAGCCAAAAUUGAAGGAAAGAUGAGAGAAAAUCGGUUACGGUGGUUUGGACAUGUGCAAAGAAGGCCUACUGACGCUCCGAUUAGAAGAUGCGACUAUGGGACAGAGGUUCAGGGCCGAAGGGGUAGAGGAAGACCUAGGAAAACUUUGGAAGAGACUCUAAGAAAAGACUUAGAGUACUUGGAUCUAACGAAGGACAUGACACAGGAUCGAGCACAAUGGCGUUCUAAGAUUCAUAUAGCCGAUCCCACUCAGUGACUUGGAUUUUCCAAGUCUCCAACCGAGAAGAAGUUUUCCUCACUCGGGAAAUUAAGGGAACACUACCCCAACCUACAUGCUCCACUCAGAAAGCUUCAACAUACAAGCUUCAACAAAAGAAAAUUCAAAGAACUUAGCGAAGAAGGCUUUGGUGUAUUUAACACAAUACGUUGAAAUGAAGGAAAACUUAUUUAUUGAUAUCCCCGAUAAGCUACAAAUAUGUACAUAUGCAUGAGUCAAAAUAAACACACAAGAGGGAGCCUUCACAAAGGUUGCUUAGGAGAAGUCUCAGCAGUCGGUAGAGCCCCAGAAAGAGAAGGCACCGGAGGGGGAUCAUUUGGAGCCUCAGUACUGGACAGAACCCUAGAAGGAGGAGGCAUCAGAGGUUGAUCAUUCGGAGCUUCAUUAUGCGGUACAGCCCCAGAAGACGAAGGCAAUAAAUGCCUUUGGAACAAACCCACAAAUCUCUGAUGAUCAAGUAAAACCUGACCAUCAGUUUCCUUCAUCUGGUCAAGCUUCCUCUUCAUGUUUGUAGCAUAGUCAUGUGCGAGCCGGUGCAACUGUUUUAUUCUCAUGCUUGAGCCCCCUAAUCUCCUGUUUGAGACUCAUCACUUCAGCCGCCAAUGACUUCAACUUGGCGGGUUCGAGCAAAUAGGCGUUGGGCCAUAUUAGACACAGAACCUGCACACUGAACACUGAGAGCCAGCGAAUCCUUAACAGCUAACUCAUCAGACCGUUUGGAAAGUAGUCUGUUAUCUUUGGGAGUGAGAAGGUUCCUGGCCACCACCGCAGCGGUCAUAUCAUUCUUCAUCACGGAAUCCCCAACGGUAAGAGGACCAGUAAGGGGAGACGAAGGAUGGGCGCCAUAUGUUGUCUGGAGAAGGCGGGGCUGCCUCUUCAACAAGGUUCAAGUCAAAAACGACGGUCAGGAGGGGCCAGACAUUUUCAAAGGUGUUGAAGAGAGAAAAGGUCGGACAAAUCAAGAUCUUAGAAGUGCAAGAAUGAAGCUUCUACUGGUGGAGAUUCAAGUGUGCUUUGGAACUUAAUGCCAACCCCUAUAAAAAUCUGCACUCGACGGAGCUUCAGAAAUCGAAGAGGCGCCUGCUCAGAAAUCGAAGAGGCGUUUGCUUUCUCAAAAGUUGGGCUGCUUAGAGAUCACGAGGGUUGAUCUCAGAAAUCGAAGAGGCGUUUGCUUUCUCAAAAGUUGGGCUGCUCAAAGACCACGAAGGCCGAUCUCAGAAAUCGAAGAGGUGCUCGCUUUCUCAAAAGCUGGGCUCCCAGAGACCACGAGGGCCGAUCUCAGAAAUCGAAGAGGCACCUACUUUUUCCAGCCUUGUCAGCACCUGUCACACGCACACUCAGCUUUGCGGAAAUUAUGGGCAUUCUGUCAAAGACUUCUGGGGGAAGUAGAAAACACAUGAAUCUUACUGUUCAAUCACCCACUUCCCACACGCAACAAUAGCUCACGGGUACCACAGAUAACUUUGCCAAAGUUCUCUGCCAAAGUUGAGCACGUGAAGCUUGCAGCUCCCACUACAUCGCUCUGACCAAGAAGGGUAAAAGAAUAGCAAAGAAACAACACUAACAAAGUUUAGACCCAUAAAUUUUGAAGGUCUAGCUACCAUAUACAUAUUAUUACCCACAAGGGUAAAGGAACAGUACCACUGCUGGAUAAUUGGAAAGUCCCUGUGUGUCAACCUCUGUGCUUCGUGGCAAGGUAGACUAGCAAACAUGCCCAACCUUUACUCACAUUCGAGAAAACACUCCCAAUAAGAUUGCUUGCUCCAAAAUCGAAGAGGCAUCGUCCUCCAAAUCUCGAGAGCCAGACUCCCAACAUGACUACUUUCUUAAAAAUCGAAGAGAGGGUAAAGGAACAGUACCAUUGCUGGAUAAUUGGAAAGUCCCUGUGUGUCAACCUCUGUGCUUCGUGGCAAGGUAGACUAGCAAACAUGCCCAACCUUUACUCACAUUCGAGAAAACACUCCCAACAAGAUUGCUUGCUCCAAAAUCGAAGAGGCACCGCCCUCCGAAUCUCGAGAGCCAGACUCCCAACAUGAUUACUUUCUCAAAAAUCGAAGAGACACUGCUUCCCGAAUCUUCGAGAGCCAGACCCCCAGCAUGAUUGCUUUCUCAAAAAUCGAUGAGGCAUCGUUCUCCGAAUCAAUCGAAGAGGCGCUCGCUUUCUCAAAAGCUGGGCUGCUCAGAGACCACGAGGGCCGAUCUCAGAAAUCGAAGAGGCACCUACUUUUCUAGCCUUGUCAGCACCUGUCACACGCAACAAUAGCUCAUGGGUACCACAGAUAACUUUGCCAAAGUUCUCUGCCAAAGUUGAGCACGUGAAGCUUGCAGCUCCCACUACAUCGCUCUGACCAAGAAAGGUAAAAGAAUAGCAAAGAAACAGCACUAACAAAGUUUAGACACAUAAAUUUUGAAGGUCUAGCUACCAUAUUAUUACCCAUAAGGGUAAAGGAACAGUACCACUGCUGGAUAAUUGGAAAGUCCCUGUGUGUCAACCUCUGUGCUUCGUGGCAAGGUAGACUAGCAAACGUGCCCAACCUUUACUCACAUUCGAGAAAACACUCCCAAUAAGAUUGCUUGCUCCAAAAUCGAAGAGGCACCGUCCUCCGAAUCUCGAGAGCCAGACUCCCAACAUGACUACUUUCUCAAAAGCGAAGAGAGGGUAAAGGAACAGUACCAUUGCUGGAUAAUUGGAAAGUCCCUGUGUGUGUGUCAACCUUUGUGCUUCGUGGCAAGGUAGACUAGCAAACAUGCCCAACCUUUACUCACAUUCGAGACAACACUCCCAACAGGAUUGCUUGCUCCAAAAUCGAAGAGGCACCGCCCUCCGAAUCUCAAGAGCCAGACUCCUAACAUGAUUACUUCCUCAAAAAUCGAAGAGACACUGCUCUCCGAAUUUCGAGAGCCAGACCCCCAGCAUGAUUGCUUUCUCAAAAAUCGAAGAGGCAUCGUUUUCCGAAUCUCGAGAGCCAGAUACCACAGACCACUUUUUCAAAGUGCUCUGACAGAGUUAAAACAUGUGAAACUGGCAGCUCCCACUACCGUGCUAUGACCAAGCAGGGUAAAGGAAUAGCAUUACUACUUGUUGUUAGGGAGACUCCUAUAUAUGUCGACCUCCAUCCUCAACGGACAGGCAGACCUGCAAAAAUGCUCAACCCUUCAUCAUAUCUAAGAGGGCACUCCCAACGAAGCCUUUCGAAAUAUUCAGCUUUCUUUCCCCCCGAUAAUACCUCUGCAAACAAGCUAUACUAGAGCAAGAAUAUCUCAUAUCAUCAGGGUUAAAAGCAAGAGUAUCCCAUAUCAUGCUUUUUCCCUGUCUUUUCCUUUGGCCUUGUUUUUACCUGCAAGACAAGGAGAAAGAGAGCAAUCAGUCAGCACUUGGAAUCAAGCUUCCAGCCAGGAACUGACUGCCUGGAACCCCUUACCUGAUUACUUACCUGGCAUUGCUCUCGAGAGUACUCAUCUUCAACAUGUUAUGUUUCCAGGGAAGAUUACGCAUCUGCUUGAGGAACAGAUAGGGCAAGUGCGAAGGAUACAAGGAAGCAUGUGGAGACAAGCGUAACAGCACACGUGCCGAUACAUCCAUUACUCUGUCAAAAGCAAAAGUAUCCCAUAUCAGCAGGGUGGAACGUACUCUAGAUUUGAUGGACUUGUUUUGACCCUCAAAUUCUUCAGUCGGCCUUAUACUCUGGAGGAAACCAGAAAACCCUCCAGCUCAGUUCAAGAAUAAGCCUGUGGAAAGUUACUUCUUCAAAAGCAAAAGUAUCUCAUAUCAUCUCUUCUCAUUUUUCUUCUCUUUAUCCUUCAUGCUGCUGCAAGAUGGGGAGAAGGUGAACAAUCAGUCGGAGCUCUGAUUGCUUACCUUGUCUGUCACCUCUUUCAGCAGACCCCCUAGCUCGGCGACUUGGGGGACUCCUACUACAUGGUUUGUAUCGCGCUUGACCAAGCCUGAAACUACAAGUAAGCUUCAAGUGAAAUUGAUACAUUACCUUGUGCAUCUCUACCAGUUAAAGAUACCACCCCUGGAUGGAGGAAGAGUACUUCCAGAGAAGAUGCCACAUCUACCUAUGAGACAGAUAAGGCAAGUUAAGACGACACCACACUCCGAUACUUAGAAGUUUCGUGAUUACGAGAUCAUUCUCCCACAAUAUUUCCUAAUGUCAUUUGUACUAAAUCAUUCACUUGUACUCACUAAAGGAGAGCUUGAACCUAUGUACUUGUGUAAACCCUUCACAAUUAAUGAGAACUCUUCUAUUCCGUGGACGUAGCCAAUCUGGGUGAACCACGUACAUCUUGUGUUUGCUUUCCUAUCUCUAUCCAUUUAUAUACUUAUCCACACUAAUGACCGGAGCAAUCUAGCGAAGAUCACAAAAAGCGACCGUUUUCGCUACCUAGGAUCUAUCUUGCAAGAGAACGGAGAAUUAGAUGGAGAUCUCAACCAUAGAAUACGAGCUGGAUGGAUGAAGUGUAAGAGUGCAUCCGGCGUGUUGUGUGACCGUCGUAGGCCACUGAAGCUCAAGAGAAAAUUUUAUAGGACGACAAUAAGGCCAGCGAUGUUUUAUGGCACAUAAUGUUGGGCGGUGAAGCAUCAACACGUACACAAAAUAGGUGUAGCGGAGAUGAGGAUGCUUCGUGGGAUGUGUGGGCACACGAUAAAGGAUAAGAUUGGGAAUGAGGAUAUCCGAGGUAAAGUAGGAGUAGCCGAAAUUGUAGGAAAGAUGAGAGAAAAUCGGCUCCGGUGAUUUGGACAUGUGCAAAGAAGGCCGACUGACGCUCUGGUUCGAAGAUGUGACUACGGGACAGAGGUUCAGGGCCGAAGGGGUAGAGGAAGACCUAGGAAAACUUUGGAAGAGACUCUAAGAAAAGAUUUAGAGUACUUGGAUCUAACGGAGGACAUGACACAAAACCGAGCGCAAUGGCGUUCUAGGAUUCAUAUAGCCGACCCCACUUAGUGGGAAAAGGCUUUGUUGUUGUUGUUGUUGUUGUUGUUGUUUAGGAUUAUCUACAUAUAUAUAAUCAAUGUUGAAAUUUUAAACUAAAUCACUAUGCUGCAAUCAAACCCACAGAUUGUUAGGUCCAAAAGAAGAAGAAGAAGAAGGAGUGAACAACAUGAAAUUGGCUUUGGGUAAGCUUCCACUCUCUUCUGUGUAUGAUCUCUUUGAGAAGUGAUUUUGGUUUGUGCUUUCAAAAAAGAUGAUGGCAAUUUCAUAUUUGGACAGAGAAAACAAUAGGCAUGUAUGAUGAAGUGGAAUUUUUCGUGGUAUUAUCAACAUGCAUGUUAUAAAGAAUUCUUCAUUUAGUUUUUUGGGUUGUGUGUUUUGUGCUGUUUCAUUCGUGACUUGUGUGUUUUGUUGUAUCUGAUUCAAGUAUACGUCAUUGAAGAAUGUUAAUGAAUCCAAACAUUGGUUUUGGGGUGUUCUUGCUAGAAAAGCCAAAGACAUUCUCGACGAUGAUGAUAAUGGAGUUCAGGAUUAUGAUUCACCCGAACAACAAGGACGGAUAUGCUGUCUUUGCCAACAAGGGGAUAAGGUGAGAUAUAGUUUUCGUCAUGUCUUUAUAGUAGCUUGGCAUUUUCCAAGGACUUUUAAUUGCUGCUGCAUUGUUGAAUACAUUAAGAAUGAUCCUGUAAACCAGAGAGGGAGUCAUCAGCUUAUGGAUCUGUUAACACAUCCAAUGUGUUGUAAUCUUUUCGCUACUUAAACAUGUUAAGACAUGAAUUCUAAUAAAAACUUUGGUCUGCUACUUUACUUAUGGUGCUGUUGGUUUACUCCAACGAUAAUACCUAGCUAGGAUAGCCUUUUCUUUAUGUCUUAAUUAUUGAUAGUGCUAUCAUCAUGGCAGGCUAUGUUGGGGCAAAAACUGUACAGGCAAAGACAUAAGAGUGAUGGAUUUUGGAAUGAAAUGCAGAGGAUAUCAUUUUGUGCUGCUUAAGUAAAAGUUUCCUCUUCUGUUAUAUUUGUGUGUUGGAUAUUGUAGAAAAUUAAUAUAAUUAAUAUAAGUUGUAUAUUCAUGAUAACUGACUGAUUAAGAUUACUUACAAGGGGUAUAUAUGCACAGGAGAGCUCAGCAUGAGGGUGCUGUUGGUUUACCUUGCCUGGAUGUGUUGCAGUGCAGGGUUGUUCAAGAAAAAAGGUUUUAAAGGAUCCUUUGCAGAUGCAAGAUCUUCUGCUAAAUGAUAACAUUGCAAUCCGAGUGUAAUUAGUUUAGUUUUUUCUAGUUUUUUUUUUGUGAAAUGUUAUUUACAAUGUCAGAAUGUUUCUUGGAAUUCAGUUGUCAAGGUUUCUUUUUAUAUUUUCCCCUUUUUAGACAUUUGCAGUUUUGUCCGGAGUGUGUGAGCUGUUGCUUCAGCCAAAACAGGUGCUCUCUCCAGUUUUUCAUUUCUUCCAUACUCAAACCCUAGCCGCUCCACCUGAAUCUCCCACACAUAAGCAAACUCCAUCUGAAAGCCGAAGAAUCCAAAGGUAAAUCCCUUCGAACUCUUUGAUUAUCAACCAGAUUUCAGAAUGUUUUUGGGAUAUACACUGCUAUUUCAUAUAGUGUUAGUUCAAUAGUUUAGUCCUAAGACCUAGCUCAUGAGACAUCAGAAUUUCGAUUGAUUUAGCUUUUGUCCUAUGCCUUUUUUGUAGGCACAACAGGGAUUGUAGACUACACAAACUUAGAAGAUAUGAAGUGUGCGGUAAGUCCUUUUACUUUCUCACUCCAGAGUCCAUACAUUCAUAUUUUCUGUAACCUUCUAUGGAGCAUGGGUACUAGGUUGUUGAAUAUUGCUUUUUCAAUAUGUCGAUGUGUCUGAAGCGUCUAUAAGAAUCUCAAACUUCAUAAAUAAUUUCCAUGCAGAUCAAAAAGCUUGAUGGCUCUGAGUUCCGAAAUGCUUUUGACCGCCAAUCUGUUCGCGUAUGAAUCUUACAAGUUGAAAAUUUAUUUUCUCUCCUCCUGUAUUUUUGUUUAUCUUUUGCUCUGUUGGGUUUUUUUUUUUCCAACAACUCAAAGGGCCGAAAGGUAUUCUCUUUUCAUAUUCUUCUCUCCCAAUUUCUUUAGGGUUAAUUUCAAUUUUCUUAUGCUAUUUGCAUUGGUGCUUUUUAGAGUUUAACUAUUUGAUUUCACAGAUUCAUUUCAAACACAGUAAAUAGUUACAUUUUAAAUUCGUAUUUCAUAACUUGGUUGCUCGAUUCUAAUGUCGAUUCGUUACAACAGAAGUGAACAUUUUCUUUCAAUAAUUUAAUCUGAUGUAACUCUGUUUUUGUUCUCUCAUGUCUAGGUUGGUCAAGGACAUGGGGAUAAGAGCACUUUGGAAAUGGGUACGAAAGGAAAUAAACUUGCUGAACUGCAUUGGCAUCUAUUGUUCUGGUUUUUCUUUGACAAGUUAACUUGCUCUCUCUUUGCAGUACGGUGCACAAAUAUGGAAAAAGCACGACAGGGGAAAGCUGGGAUAUUGUUGUGGAUGAGGAGACCUAUUACGAGUGAGUCUGGACUUGGUUCUGGUUCUGUCUACAUAUAGUAUGUUGAAGCAGUCAAAAGGAUUUCAGGGGCUAUAAGGGAUGGCUGUAGAGGCCACCCGCUCGAUAUUGCCUUGUUCGGUUGUUCAUCCAGAUACAAAUUCUUGUUUAGCUCAGAAUGCACGGGCUACAUCAGCUACAUUUAGGAAAACAUUUCCGCUUUACUUUUCUUUGAUGUUUGUACCAUUCGUUGUUUUCAGCCUACAGAAGGUAAAUUCUUCAAACUCAGCCUUUUCUUCUCAUUUUUUACUAGGAUAAUGCUUCUUUAACAAUUAUUUUCUGAAAUGGUGCGUUUACCUAUUAGUUCUGCCGACCACGAUAUUGGAUUUAUUGCCAUGAAUGCACAUUUGCCUUCAGAAGGCAAUUCGAUCUAACUUUUUCACUUCCCUUGAGUUAAGAUCUAACUUUUUCACUCUAACGGAAUGUUCUGUGCAGACUGGGGGUUAUUACAUAGCAUUUUUACUCACUUCAAGAGAUCUGUUUUACUUUCCGAUCAGUUUGAGUGAAUAAAUUCCUUGUGAACUUGGAAAUCUCUCAAGUCUAAGUGUUUUGCACCUCGGUUGAUAUGAGUUUUGUAGAUACUAGAAGAGCAAAUGAUUGUUAAGAGUAGUGGAUUAAAUCAUUUACGUGUUUGAUAUGCCUAGCUAGCUACGAGGGUCUUCAGUCUUAGCUUCGACUUGUACGAAGGACCGUUCCCAGUUCCUGGUGGGGUUGUGAAUAUGACUGGUCUUAAAGUCCUUAUUAUCUUUGAGCAAGAAAAAUCAAAGCUUUAAUUAUUCUGCAUGACUUUUCAUGCAUUCACCAUCGUAUGGAAUAUAUCACAGUUUUUGGCCAAAUUUUCCACAUAAAAUUUAAUCCUCUCAACUUCCUAACAUUAUCAAACAUUCAAUGACAGUCGGACUGUCUCAUUCAAUGACAGUCUGAUCUGGAGAUAAAGUUGACAAGUAUUAUUAUACGGCAACUUGAUGAUGUUGCUGGUGAUGUAUCUGGAUUGGCCGUGAAAUGGUAUGGAAUUUGUUUAUGAUUUUGCCAAUUACACAAACUGAGUCGUUUUUGCUGUUAUCUGUUGGAGUUUUAUGAGUUGUGUCUGGUGUGCCUUGCCAUGAAUAGUGAAGGAUCAUUGACUCUCUACUUCUUAGCAGUAGCUGGAUAGUCUUUCAUAUACAAUUGGAUCAUGAUAAUGUUUUGAGGCAUUUCAAAUUAUUCCACAUGUAAAUAGUUUUGAAUUCAGAGUUUAGUCUUUCGAUUUCAAGCUGCCAUAUGAUCUUUGAAUAGUUCAAGCAUUUUUGUUGUCAUUCUAAUUCUCUGAAGGUAAAUAGAAAAAUUGUAUGUAAAUCGAACAAUGAUUCAUAAUCUUUUGCAUGUUGGUACUAUUGUUGAUCCAAAGCCACAAGAACUUUGUUGGUCUAAUCUUUUUUGCAUGUAAAUAGAAGUCUGAUCUUUUUUGUGUAUACAAGUAACAGUAUCAUUUAAACGCUUUUAAAUCCCGCAGCAUCGCAUGGGCAAUUUUUGCUAGUUAUAACCAAAUGUAUGAAAUUGAAAUGUCAUAGAAGUGUUGUACGAGGUUACAAUUUGAGAGAUUUUUCAUUGUGAUCGGAACACGGGAUGAUAUACCACGUGUCAUUAUAUAAAUGGUAGAAUAUGUGUUAAAAAAUAAAAUUUUCAUCACUUGUAUAAAAACACGUGGUGUACCACUCAUGUUUCGAUCACACUGAAAAAUUUGUCGUUACAAUUGUACCAAAAUUUAAAGAAGUAAAUUGUAUUUUACCCUUCUUACUUUCACUUGCUCAUUUACUUGUUCGACGCCCGGCUUAGGUGGGAGUAUUAUAUCCCAGUAAAAAUAUCACAUCCAUAAAAAAAAUUAAAUUUUUCAUCUAUAUUAAUACAAUGUAUUUGAAGGACCGACGAUUCCCAAUUCCAAGUGGGGUCUCCCUUGAUCUUUCUGGAAACUUUUUUAAUUCUUUGAUGCCGAGGUGGGUUUUCAGUCUUAAAAAUCUAGUUUCUCUUCGUCUCAGUGAUUGUUGGUUCCAAGGUCCAAUUCCUAGCAUUUCACAGAAUAUCACAUCUUUGAGGGAAAUUGAUUUGUCAGGCAAUUCUGUUAGUCUUGAUCCGAUUCCCAAAUGGCUGUUUAACCAAAAAGACCUUGCCUUGAGUCUAGAAUCUAAUAACCUCACAGGACAACUUCCUAGCAGUAUUCAGAAUAUGACUGGUCUUACAGCUCUUGAUCUCAGUUUCAACGACUUCAAUUCUACCAUACCUGAAUGGUUGUAUAGCUUGACCAAUCUCGAGUCCUUACUUCUUUCUUCCAGUGUCUUGCAUGGUGAAAUAUCGAGUUCCAUUGGAAACAUGACAUCCCUUGUCAAUCUUCACUUGGAUGGUAAUCAGUUGGAAGGGAAAAUCCCAAAUUCUUUGGGACAUCUUUGUAAGUUGAAAGUUCUUGAUCUGUCAGAGAACCAUUUCAUGGUUCGAAGACCAUCCGAAAUCUUUGAAAGUUUGUCCAGAUGUGGUCCAGAUGGAAUAAAGUCAUUGUCGUUGAGGUAUACUAAUAUAUCAGGUCACAUUCCAAUGUCACUAGGAAAUCUGUCAAGCUUAGAAAAAUUGGACAUAUCUUUAAAUCAGUUUAAUGGAACUUUCACAGAAGUUAUUGGUCAGCUCAAAAUGCUAACGGAUUUGGAUAUAUCUUAUAAUUCGUUAGAAGGUGUGGUGUCGGAAGUGUCUUUUAGCAACCUUACAAAGUUGAAGCAUUUCAUUGCAAAAGGAAACUCAUUUACUCUGAAAACUAGUCGAGAUUGGGUUCCUCCUUUUCAACUUGAAAUUUUGCAGCUGGAUUCCUGGCAUUUGGGGCCUGAAUGGCCAAUGUGGUUGCGGACACAAACGCAAUUAAAAGAACUAAGCUUGUCUGGUACAGGAAUUUCAAGUACUAUUCCAACUUGGUUUUGGAACUUAACUUUCCAAUUAGAUUAUCUGAAUCUCUCUCACAAUCAGUUGUAUGGGCAGAUUCAAAAUAUAUUUGGUGCUUAUGAUUCAACGGUUGAUCUUAGUUCUAACCAAUUCACUGGUGCAUUGCCUAUUGUUCCCACCUCAUUAUAUUGGCUAGAUCUUUCCAAUUCAUCAUUUUCUGGAUCUGUUUUCCACUUCUUCUGUGAUAGGCCGGAUGAACCAAAGCAACUUUAUAUUCUUCAUCUCGGGAACAAUUUGCUCACUGGAAAAGUACCCGAUUGUUGGAUGAGUUGGCAAUCCUUGAGAUUCCUAAAUUUAGAAAACAACAUCCUAACUGGGAAUGUCCCAAUGUCCAUGGGAUACUUAGUUUGGCUGGGAUCCCUGCACUUGCGCAAUAAUCACCUGUACGGAGAAUUGCCACAUUCCCUACAGAAUACCUCGUUGUCAGUUCUUGACCUUAGUGGAAAUGGGUUUUCCGGAAGCAUACCAAUAUGGAUAGGGAAAAGCCUUUCAGAGUUGCAUGUUCUUAUCCUUCGUUCAAAUAAGUUUGAAGGAGAUAUUCCUAAUGAAGUUUGUUAUUUGACAAGUCUCCAGAUAUUGGACCUUGCACAUAACAAACUCUCAGGAAUGAUACCGAGAUGCUUCCACAAUUUGAGCGCCUUGGCUGAUUUUCACAAAUAUUUUCUACAACUAGUUUUUGGGGUGUGGAAGAGGAUGGACUUACAGAGAAUGCAAUCUUGGUAACGAAAGGGAUAGAAAUGGAAUAUACCAAGAUUCUGGGAUUCGUAAAAGGCAUGGAUCUUUCAUGCAACUUUAUGUAUGGAGAGAUCCCUGAAGAACUUACCGGCCUCCUCGCAUUGCAGUCACUCAAUUUAUCGAAUAAUCACUUCACCGGAGGAAUUCCUUCAAAGAUUGGUAGUAUGGCACAGUUAGAAUCUCUCGAUUUUUCCAUGAACCAACUUGAUGGUGAAAUUCCUCCAAGCAUGACGAAAUUGACAUUUCUGAGUCACUUAAACUUGUCCUACAACAAUUUGACGGGACGAAUUCCGGAAAGCACUCAACUGCAGAGCCUUGAUCAGUCGAGCUUCGUCGGCAACGAACUAUGCGGAGCUCCACUCAACAAGAAUUGCAGCACGAAUGGGGUGAUACCGCCACCAACAGUUGAGCAAGACGGAGGAGGAGGAUACCGUUUACUCGAAGACGAGUGGUUCUACGUGAGCUUGGGAGUUGGAUUCUUCACGGGGUUUUGGAUUGUGCUUGGUUCUUUGCUGGUAAACAUGCCAUGGAGCAUUCUUCUUUCACAGUUGCUGAAUAGGAUAGUGCUUAAAAUGUAUCAUGUAAUUGUUGAAUAUGUUUAGCUUUGUUUUGUACUUUGCGUAAGUUUGUUGGCAUUUUCCUUGCUGCGACGAAUAUGCCAGUAUGGUUGUGUUGUAUGAUUUUGUUAAAUUUCGUCCUCUUGUUUUAUUGUAUUUUUCUUUCAUGUUUGGCUUUAGGGGGUUAGGUUUCAUGUCCCCCCCUCCCUUGUAUCAUUUUUGUUUUCGUUUCUAGAGGGGUAAGGUUUAUGUCCCCCCUUCUUACUCAAUGUUGUUUUUCUCUCUUUCUUGGCAUUACGAGGGGUAAGGUUUAUGUUCUCCCCUGACUAGAUGUAACUUAUUUUUUUCGUUAUCAAUAAAAUAUCCCUCGUACCAUCGAGGUUUUCUUAAGAAUAAAAAAUAGAAAAAAUUAUCUCAUAUAAAAUUAAAAGACUUGUUUUCUGACCAAGUAGUUCUUAAUUCAGCAAAAGUCAAUUGAAUGACAAGAGAAAUGUGUGAAAAUGGUUUAGGAAUUAGUUACCUAUUAAUUAAUUAUCAGCAAACUCACAUUAUUCACAUUAUUUCGUGGUUGUAUUUUUAAUGAUUUUUUAUUUACAAUUUUACACUUGGAUCUUUCUCAAAAAACUAAAACAACGCUUCUCUCGAGUUCGAAUCCCAAAACCAAAAUUCAACCAGUAUAUAUGUCCCAAGACGCAAAAGGACCAAUUGGCAAUUAAAUAAAAUGCUUUCGAAUAAGAUGACAGAAUAAAUGAACGAAUUUUCAGUGUGAUCGUCACACAAAGUGCUACACCACGUGUCGCUAUAUAAAUGGUGUGAUAUGUGUGUUAAAAAAUUAAUAACUUAAAAAAUAAAAUUUUCCUCUACUUACAUAAAAACAUGUGAUGUACCGUAUUGCCCCUCAAAAUUAAAAAUUUCUCCAUGAACUCAACCACCUACACAACCCCGGCCACUCCACCAAUGACUCUAAUUUACUCAGUUUUAAUUUGCUAAAGACUUAAUUUAUUUAUUUAUUAACGGGUAAUUAAAGAAAAUCUAGUUGUGAAGUGCUAGUAGUUUGUAUUGACCAGUAUCGACGGAUAAGAAGGGUAGUAUGGUCAAAAAGGUGGUGCUGAAGUAAGGCAGUUAGUAUAUUUGGAAGUUAGUUAGAAUUGGCGGUAAAAUUAGUUAGAGCUGUUAGUACUACUAGCUUAAGAGAUGGGGCAGUUAGUAUUCAUUCGAAAAAAAAUAUACAGAAACUCAUAACCUCUGCUCUCUCUGCAAUUCUCUUUCUUUCUCUCUAAGUUUUCUGCUUUUCUUCAAUUCUCUGUGCACUGUUAUCAUGGUAUCAGAGCCGGCCGAUCCUUGGUUUCAAUUCCGCUGUGCAAGUCUUCUUGAUUGAUUGAAGCUCGAUGGUAGCUACAAGGUCUCAGGGUUUCUGCUCAAAGAUUCAAGAUUUUCAUUCGUAUCAGGUUCUUUGUUUGUGAUUUCACAGUGCACACCAUCUGUUUGCGUUAUGUUCUAGUUGGAGAGUGUUGUUAUUUUUCUGAAAGAUUGAAGGCCCAUAACCAUUGUUAGAAAAUUGAAAGGCCGAUAGCCAUUGUUUGAGAGCAUAAGAGGCCGAUAGCCAUUGUUUGAUCAAGAUUUUUUGGUAUUCAUUCAGUUGUUUCAUUGAAAAAGGCCGAUAGCCAGUAGGGAAGAAUCUGUGAUAGUGUAUUUGGGGUUCAAGAACAAGUCUUGUUUGUCUGCAAUAUAAAUUUCUGGAUUAAUAUUCUCUGUAACCUUGUUCAAAUGGCGGAAUCUAUUGUUAAAAUUGAAGGGUUACUUGGUAUGCUUACAGUGAAACUUCAAGAUGAUAAUUUUCAUUAAUUGGUUUAAUUUUUGUUCAUUUUAAAUUACGCAUAGUAGUGUUGGAUUCACAAACUCUUUAAUUCUCCACUUUCAAUCGAAUAAACGAGUGUGGUAUGUAUUUCAAACAAACAAGAUUGAACAUCUAAUUAUUUCAGAUAAAAUGCACCAAACACUCAUCUUCUUCUGGCAAGCAAGAAAAACUAGUUUUGCCAUGCGGCAUGUUUGAAUUGCGCGACAUAAACCAAAUUUCCAAUCACAAAUUUGGUGAUAAAUAUAAUAAUUUCAAUAAGUGAAAAACUCAAAUAGGUUACAUAAUUUGAUUUUUUUUUUAAGGGGUUCAACAAAAGAAAAUUCAAAGAACUUAGCGAAGAAGGCUUUGGUGAUUUAACACAAUACGUUGAAAUGAAGGAAAGCUUAUUUAUUGAUAUCCCCGAUAAAUUACAAGUAUGUACAUAUACUUGAGUCAAAAUAAACAAACAAGAGGGAGCCUUCACAAAGGUUGCUUAGGAGAAGUCUCGGCAGUCGGUAGAGCCCCAGAAAGAGAAGGCACCGGAGGGGGAUCAUUCGGAGCCUCAGUAUUGGACAGAACCCUAGAAGGAGGAGGCAUCAGAGGUUGAUCAUUUGGAGCUUCAUUACGCGGUACAGCCCCAGAAGACGAAGGCAAUAAAUGCCUUUGGAACAAACCCACAAAUCUCUGAUGAUCAAGUAAAACCUGACCAUCAGAUUCCUUCAUCUGGUCAAGCUUCAUUUUCAUGUUUGUAGCAUAGUCAUGUGCGAGCCGGUGCAACUGUUUAUUCUCAUGCUUGAGCCCUCUAAUCUCCUGUUUGAGACUCAUCACUUCAGCCGCCAAUGAUUCAACUUGGCGGGUUCGAGCAAAUAGGCGUUGGGGCCAUAUUAGACACAGAACCUGCACACUGAACACUAAGAGCCAGAGAAUCCUUAACAGCCAACUCAUCAGACCGUUUUGGAAAGUAGUCUGUUAUCUUUUGGGAGUGAGAAGGUUCCUGGCCACUACCGCAGCGGCCAUAUCAUUCUUCAUCACGGAAUCCCCAACGGUAAGAGGACCAGUAGGGGAGACGAAGGAUGGGCGCCAUAUGUUGUCUGGAGAAGGCGGGGCUGCCUCUUCAACAAGGUUCAAGUCAAAACGACGGUCGGAGGGGCCAGACAUUUUCAAAGGUGUAGAAGAGAGAAGAGGUCGGACAAAUCAAGAUCUUAGAAGUGCAAGAAUGGAGCUUCUACUGGUGGAUAUUCAAGUGUGCUUUGGAACUUAAUGUCAGCCUCUAUAAAAAUCUGCACUCGACGAAGCUUCAGAAAUCGAAGAGGCGUUUGCUUUCUCAAAAGCUGGGCUGCUCAGAGACCACGAGGGUCGAUCUCAGAAAUCGAAGAGGCGUUUGCUUUCUCAAAAGCUGGGCUGCUCAAAGACCACGAAGGCCGAUCUCAGAAAUCGAAGAGGUUUGCUUUCUCAAAAGCUGGGCUGCUCAGAGACCACGAGGGCCGAUCUCAGAAAUCGAAGAGGUUUGCUUUCUCAAAAGCUGGGCUGCUCAGAGAGGGCCGAUCUCAGAAAUCGAAGAGGCACCUACUUUUCCAGCCUUGUCAGCACCUGUCACACGCACACUCAGCUUUGCGGAAAUUAUGGGCAUUCUGUCGAGAUUUCUGGCGAAGUAGAAAGCACAUGAAUCGUACUGUUCAAUCACCCACUUCCCACACGCAACAGUAGCUCAUGGGUACCACAUAUAACUUUGCCAAAGUUCUCUGACAAAGUCGAGACACGUGAAGCUUGCAACUCUCACUACAACGCUCUGACCAAGAAGGGUAAAAGAAUAGCAAAGAAACAACACUAACAAAGUUUAGACACAUAAAUUUUGAAGGCCUAGCUACCAUAUUAUUACCCACAAGGGUAAAGGAACAGUACCACUGCUGGAUAAUUGGAAAGUCCCGGUGUGUCAACCUCUGUGCUUCAUGGCAAGGUAGACUAGCAAACAUGCCCAACCUUUACUCACAUUCGAGAAAACACUCCCAACAAGAUUGCUUGCCCCAAAAUCGAAGAGGCAUCGCCCUCCGAAUCUCGAGAGCCAGACUCCCAACAUGAUUACUUUCUCAAAAAUCGAAGAGAGGGUAAAGGAACAGUACCACUGCUGGAUAAUUUGAAAGUCCCUGUGUGUCAACCUCUGUGCUUCGUGGCAAGGUAGACUAGCAAACAUGCCCAACCUUUACUCACAUUCGAGAAAACUCCCCAAACAAGAUUGCUUGCUCCAAAAUCGAAGAGGCACCGCCCUCCGAAUCUCGAGAGCCAGACUUCUAACAUGAUUACUUUCUUAAAAAUCGAAGAGAGGGUAAAGGAACAGUACCACUGCUGGAUAAUUGGAAAGUCCCUGUGUGUCAACCUCUGUGCUUCGUGGCAAGGUAGACUAGCAAACAUGCCCAACCUUUACUCAUAUUCGAGAAAACACUCCCAACAAGAUUGCUUGCUCCAAAAUCGAAGAGGCACCGCCCUCCGAAUCUCGAGAGCCAGACUCCCAACAUGAUUACUUUCUCAAAAAUCGAAGACACCGUUCUCCGAAUUUCGAGAGCCAGACCCCCAGCAUGAUUGCUUUCUCAAAAAUCGAAGAGGCAUCGUUCUCCGAAUCUCGAGAGCCAGAUCCCCGACAGGAUUGCUUGUUCGAUUACCGAAGAGGCACCACUUUCCCAACUUCAAGAGCCGGAUCUCCUUGGAUAAAGCUUGUCUGUAAUCUUCACACGCAACAUCAGCUUUCCAGAUACCACAGACCACUUUUUCAAAGUGCUCUGACAGAGUUAAAACUUGUGAAGCUGGCAGCUCCCUCACGUGUACCGUGCUGACCAAGGGUAAAGGAAUAGCAUAGCAUUACUUGAUGAUUAGGGAGACUCCUAUAUAUGUCGACCUCCAUCCCCAACGGACAGGCAGACCUGCAAAAAUGCUCAACCCUUCCUCUUAUCUAAGAGGGCACUCCCAACGAAGCCUUUCGAAAUAUUCAGCUUUCUUUCCCCCCGAUAAUACCUCUGUAAACAAGCUAUAUUACUAGAGCAAGAAUAUCUCAUAUCAUCAGGGUUAAAAAGCAAGAGUAUCCCAUAUCAUGCUUUUUCCCUGUCUUUUCCUUUGGCCUUGUUCUUACCUGCUGCAAGACAAGGAGAAAGAGAGCAAUCAGUCAGCACUUGGAAUCAAGCUUCCAGCCAGGAACUGACUGCCUGGAACCCCUUACCCUGGCAUUGCUCUCGAGUACUCAUCUUCAACAUCUUAUGCUUCCAGGGAAGAUACCGCAUCUGCCUGAGGAACAGAUAGGGCAACUGAGAAGGAUACAAGGAAGCAUGUGGAGACAAGCGUAACAGCACACGUGCCGAUACAUCCACUACUCUGUCAAAAGCAAAAAGUAUCCCAUAUCAGCAGGGUCGAACGUACUCUAGAUUUGAUGGACUUGUUUUGACCCUCAAAUUCUUCAGUCGGCCUUAUACUUUGGAGGAAACCAGAAAACCCUCCAGCCCAGUUCAAGAAUAAGCCUGUGGAAAGUUACUUCUUCAAAAAGCAAAAGUAUCCCCAUAUCAUCUCUUCUCAUUUUUCUUCUCUUUAUCCUUCAUGCUGCCUGCAAGAUAGGGAGAAUGUGAACAAUCAGCCGGAGCUCUGAUUGCUUUACCUUGUCUGUUACCUCUUUCAGCAGAUCCCCUAGCUCGGCGACUUGGGGGACUCCUACUACAUGGUUUGUAUCGCGCUUGACCAAGCCUGAAACUACAAGUAAGCUUCAAGUGACAUUGAUACAUUACCUUGUGCAUCUUCCACCAGUUACAGAUACCACCCCUGGAUGGAGGAAGAGUACUUCCAGAGAAGAUUCCACAUCUACCUAUGAGACAGAUAAGGAAAGUCAAGACGAUACCACACUCCGGGUACUUAGAAGUUUCGUGGUUACGAGAUCAUUCUCCCACAAUAUUUCCUAAUGUCAUUUGUACUAAAUCAUUCACUUGUACUCCCUAAAGGAGAGCUUGAACCUAUGUACUUGUGUAAACCCUUCACAAAUUAAUGAGAACUCCUUUAUUCCGUGGACGUAGCCAAUCUGGGUGAACCACGUACAUCUUGUGUUUGCUUUCCUAUCUCUAUCCAUUUAUAUACUUAUCCACACUAAUGACCGGAGCAAUCUAGCGAAGAUCACAAAAAGUGACCGUUUUCGCUACCUAGGAUCUAUCUUGCAAGAGAACGGAGAAUUAGAUGGAGAUCUCAACCAUAGAAUACAAGCUGGAUGGAUGAAGUGUAAGAGUGUAUCCGGCGUGUUGUGUGAUCGUCGUAGGCCACUGAAGCUCAAGGGAAAUUUUAUAGGACGGCAAUAAGGCCAACGAUGUUGUAUGGCACAGAAUGUUGGGCGGUGAAGCAUCAACACGUACACAAAAUGGGUGUAGCGGAGAUGAGGAUGCUUCGUGGGAUGUAUGGGCACACGAGAAAGGAUAAGAUUGGGAAUGAGGAUAUCCAAGGUAAAGUAGGAGUAGCCAAAAUUGAAGGAAAUAUAAGAGAAAAUCGGUUCCGGUGGUUUGGACAUGUGCAAAGAAGGCCUACUGACGCUCUGGUUCGAAAAUGUGAUUACGGGACAGAAGUUAAGGGCCGAAGGGGUAGAGGAAGACCUAGGAAAACUUUGGAAGAGACCCUAAGAAAAUACUUGAUUACUUGGAUCUAACGGAGGACAUGACACAAAACCGAGCGCAAUGGCGUUCUAGGAUUCAUAUAGCCGACCCCACUUAGUGGGAAAAGGCUUUGUUGUUGUUGUUGUUGUAGUUUGUGGGAAAGCUACGGUAGUCCAUCUCUUUGGAGGUCGGGAAGACUUACAGAGGCAUUUCAGCUAUCCUCUUACUAUCAUCAUGUGAUUCACUAUCGUUAAAAAUCGAACCUAUGACAAUGUGUGGAAUGGGAAUCUAAAAUUGAUGAAGCAUUUGUAAUUUCAAAAUUUCCCCCUCCAUACAUAUUUCUUUUAUCAAGCCCUCCUUACAUAUAACAAUUGGAAAAAUUAACUUAAUUAGUAUGGGGUAAAAUAGUAAAUUAAUACAUGCGAAUUAAAACCACUCCACGUUGGGGUAGUUACAAACUUUUUUUAAGUACGCUUGUGACAAGAGAUUUGUGUCUACAUUGAUUUUGGUCGCAAUUAAUUUGAAAAGUGAGAUGGAGAUCUUGGUGAUGUUGAUUUAAAGGAGGCCUCCUCAUCGGACGGUGUUGGUGAAUAGCACCAUGCAGCAGUCAAUGGGUGUUGUGUGCAAACUCUGGUCAUCUGGUACUUCUCUUUAUUGAAAAAAAAAAAUUAAACGAAAAAAAAAUGCAAGAUAACUAUUUUGAAGUGCCAGUAGCAAUUCUUCGAGAAUGAAAUUAAAAAAUGUGGUCAAGUUCUUCAAAUCUAGUUGAAUCUGCUAAACCAUCACCUGUUAAAAGAGAAGUUAUAAACAUUACCAAAAUUGUAUCAAUCUUAACGAAGACAUCAAAAAACAAAAAUUGGAAAAGAAAAUGAAAAUUGUUUGAAAUCAAAAUCUCUAAUUGGGUGGCAUGAAAGGGAAAAGGGAGAGACUCUCAGGAACAAUAAAAAUGAGUGGCAUGGGAGAGAACUCAUGUUAUGUCAUUUUCUUAAUUUUAUGAAGAAGAGAAGAUGGACAUAGAUUGUGAGAUCGCCCUCCCUACCACUCAUCUUCACUGGCUUUUGAGAGAUUAUCUCCCAUUUCACCUCAGCCAAUUCUAAGAAUGUAUGUUGUGGUUACAUGACUAUGAUGCCUUAAUUUAUAGAAACUCGAGGGCACACAGAUUCAGAAAACCAACCUUAGAGCCCAUGGUUAGUAACGCUAGCAAUCUCGAGAAAAGCAUGUGUGCGUUCACGUGAUAAGAGAGAUGAAACGCCUAAAUUUGACUUGACAAUAAGGGAAAAUAAUCUAAGAGUCAUAAGGGUUGUGAGUAUGUUGUCAGUUUCCUUUUCCUUAUGAGACCCAUCACGGUUGGUGAAUAGAGGCCUGGUUUGGUAUUCUUGGAUCUGAUAUCUCGUCAUUGCAUUCACCUUGCACAUUUUCCAACCCAAAAAACUUUCAACUAAUGUCCGACCUUAUCAUAAGCAUAUUUAAAAACAUGUGGUCCAAUAUUUUAUUGGAUAUCGUGCUGGAUAUCUAACCAUGAGUCGUCGAUUCGAUGUACUAUAUGCAAUACAGGGAAAAAAUAUUGUUCUCAAUUUGUAAAAUUCUAAGUUUUGUUCAUACAAAUCACCCCUUUUUAUGUUGAUGGAAAUUAAUCGAGAUUCACUACAUCGCAAGUCUCUUUUUUGGUCAAAUGUUUACUUUAUUUAUAACACAACAGAUUACAAAAUAGAAGGCCCAAAUACAAUAAACACACAAACAAAAAGACAGACCUCCAUAGUAACCUAACAGCCCAAAACAUAGUUUUGAACCCUAAACAGGAAAAACACCAAAGCAAACCCUAGUAGCUUUCUACUUCCGUCGUCAACCCGCUUGCCGAACGAACAAUCCUUGCACCCAUCAAGAAAUCAAAAUAACUAAAGCGCCAAAGCUGGAUGAAAACAGAGCUACAACAGGACCCCAAAACAGAGCCCCAAACUCCUCCACAGCACACCACAGCAGUAGCCGCCACAAAUCGAAGGAAGCUAGCGGGAAAAAACCCACUAGCAACAGUGCCAACAAAGGCAAACCAAAGGAAGGAGGUGGUGUGAACACCGAGCCUAAGCUCUACUCCCCUUCCGGCAGAAGUGCGAUAAAUAGCGUUGAAAAAAAGUGGGAGCCAAGCAGGACUGAGAGAUCGAAGAAGGAUGAAGCCGAUCCGGAUUGGGGAACGUGGGGGGAAAGAGAGGGAAAUGGUGGAAAGAAGGAGAAAAGGUGAAAAAGGUGGAAGGAAGACGAAAGGAAACAAAGGGGAAAAGUGGAAGAAAGGAAGAAAUGGGAGAAGUUGGAAAAGGGACUGAGGUCAAAGAAAACAGAUGCACAGGGGGUUGAGUGGCAAACAGGCCACUGGGCGGGGGUACAUGGAAGAUGAAGGAGAAGGAGAAGGAAAGAAAAGGAUAAAGGAGAAAGGAGAAGGGAGAAGAGAAGGACUGCCACCGACCCUGGCCAUAACUAGGGUUGGUGGCUGCGGGAAGUAACGAAGUGGAGGACACACACACACAACAGGUAUAACAAGUUUCGGAACCGGAAGGCGACGUUCCGUUCCUUAUUCGUAAUUUUUUUCACACAUACCGCAAAGCUUUUGAAAUGAACAAACCAACUCGUAUAUGUUCACUUCAGACCUAGGGGAUAAGAACGAUAGAUCCAGAUGUUUUCCUGUUCUCAAG